CCUGCCCCUAGAGCCAUUGCAGGUGUGGCUUUUUGUUGUCACAUGUGCAUCGGUAGGUGGCAGAGAGGAGAGGUUAUGACUGUAUGUCAGUGUUCUGACCUAUGAACAUCUGAAUGAUAUU
rnacentral:snoRNA from 1 species